rnacentral:tRNA from 1 species
GCCGAAGUGGUGAAAUUGGCAGACACGCUGUGUUCAGGGCGCAGUGCCCACAAGGCGUGGGGGUUCAAAUCCCCCCUUCGGCA